CUUGAACGCUGGCGGCAGGCCUAACACAUGCAAGUCGAGCGAGCGGCGGACGGGUGAGUAAUGUCUGGGAAACUGCCUGAUGGAGGGGGAUAACUACUGGAAACGGUAGCUAAUACCGCAUACCAUCAGAUGUGCCCAGAUGGGAUUAGCUAGUAGGUGGGGUAACGGCUCACCUAGGCCCAGAUCCCUAGCGGGUCUGGGAGGAUGACCAGCCACACUGGAACUGAGACACGGUCCAGACUCCUACGAGAGGCAGCAAGGGGGAAUAUUGCACAGUGGGCGCAAGCCUGAUGCAGCCAUGCCGCGUGUGUGAAGAAGGCCUUCGGGUUGUAGAGCACUUUCAGCGGGAAGGCAUGACCCGCAGAAGAGGCACCGGCUAACUCCGUGCCAGCAGCCGCGGUAAUAC
rnacentral:rRNA from 1 species